CACCAGUCACCCCCUCCCUCUGUCACUAGUCACCCUCUCCCUCACUCUGUCUAGAGUGAGUGGGUGACUAGUGACAGAGUGAGGGAGGGAAGGGGUGACAGAGUGAGUGAGGGAAGGGGUGUCUAGUGACAGAGUGAGGGAGGGGGUUAG